rnacentral:rRNA from 1 species
CUACGGGAUGCACCAGUGGGGAAUAUUGCACAAUGGGCGCAAGCCUGAUGCAGCCAUGCCGCGUGUAUGAAGAAGGCCUUCGGGUUGUAAGUACUUUCAGCGGGGAGGAAGGGAGUAAAGUUAAUACCUUUGCUCAUUGGCGUUACCUGCAGAAGAAGCACCGGCUAACUCCGUGCCAGCAGCCGCGGUAAUACGGAGGGUGCAAGCGUUAGUCGGAAUUACUGGGCGUAAAGCGCACGCAGGCGGUUUGUUAAGUCAGAUGUGAAAUCCCCGGGCUCAACCUGGGAACUGCAUCUGAUACUGGCAAGCUUGAGUCUCGUAGAGGGGGGUAGAAUUCCAGGUGUAGCGGUGAAAUGCGUAGAGAUCUGGAGGAAUACCGGUGGCGAAGGCGGCCCCCUGGACGAAGACUGACGCUCAGGUGCGAAAGCGUGGGGAGCAAACAGGAUUAGAUACCCUUGUAGUC